GACAAAACAAAGUGUGUGCAAUGUGUGUCUAUGCCAUCGGGUUAGCUACAACCAGUUUUGAAAGUUUUAGGAGUAAUGGUUAAAGAGCUAUUGACAUUUGAAACAUUUGAUUUGUCACUAUGUUGACGGUCCCUAACUGCUGUUGGUGGACGUAAGGAAAACUACAGGCGAAUAUCCAACCUGAAACUGUCUUUACCUCGGUUCUUAAAGUCCAUUGAAACUCAAUGGACAAAACAUGAUCUUAGUGCUACGAUGCUUUUGGGGAAGCCAGACCUGUUCGGUCUUUCUGAAUGAAUGGCACCUCAUCUUAGUGCAGCUGAAAGACAGCGGCAAUACAGAGAACGACGUAAUGCUGCCCCAGAAAGGAGAGUAUCUAGAGAAAGAGAGGGAGGAAAGAUAAAAGAGACUGGGAAGAAGAAGGCAAUAGCUGAACUCAGUGACAGAGUGCAGCAUGCAGAAAGGAAGAAAUGGAGAGAUUCAAACAGGAUACUCAGAGCCAGGGUCAAGACUAGUGCAUUGCUGCAGUCUGCAGAGAUGCCAUUAAAGGAACGAUGAAGAUUAAUCAGGUUAUCAGUGUCUCACCAGGCCAGAUAAAAUACUUGUCUGUGCAGAAGGAUAGUGGCAUGUUGGACUGUCCUUGUUUUCAGCUCAAAGAGGCAACUCUGGGUGACCCUGCAGCAUCUAACCAGCUCCCUACAUCUCAUGACGAGGCUGACACCACAUGGCGACCUGGAACCAUUGAACUUAAUCACGUAGGGGAGUGGUGUGUUGUCAAUUAUGACCAUGAAGGAUACCCUGGCAUCAUCAUAGAUGUAGAGGAACAUAACAUUAAGGUGAAGUGCAUGCACCUGAAUGGCAUCAACAAAUUCUUCUGGCCAAGUCCAAAGGAAGAUAUUUGUUGGUACUCUGAUGGACAGAUAAUUUGUCAGAUGCCAGAGCCAUGGGCUGUUAAUAAACACUCUGUACAGAUGGAAAGAUCCACCUGGAAGUACGUGGAAGAGC
rnacentral:lncRNA from 1 species